GGUCCUCAUAGCCUGAGGUUUAUGAAAUGAUUAGGACUCUUGAAGAAUCUGAGAGCACUCGGCUAUCUUAUGGCCCUACUAGCCACAUUUGAAAUAAGCUCCACUUGCUCGUCUACAGUUUUUUAUCUUAUGAAUACAACUACAUGCUUCGCACUUAGGCUUAUCCUGCUGAAUCAUUUUUUCAUAAGAGCCUUGAAUGCCGAGACUUAGCAUG
rnacentral:lncRNA from 1 species